GAUCUUGGUUCAGGAUGAACGCUAGCGAAAUGCCUAACACAUGCAAGUCGAACGGACCUUGCGUCGUAGUAAUACGUAGUAAGGUUAGUGGCAAACGAGCGAGUAACGCGUGCUUAACCUGCCCCCGAAGUUGGGUAUAACUACAGAGAUGUAGCUAAUUCCCAAUAUGCUCACGAUGGUGAAAUCCCAAUGGGAGGAAAGAUUUAUCGCUUCGGGAGGGGGGUGCGUCCUAUCAGAUAGUUGGUGAGGUAACGGCUUACCAAGUCUAUGACGGGUAACCGGUCUGAGAUGAUGUCCGGUCGCGAUGGGACUGAGAUACGGCCCAUACUCCUACGGGAGGCAGCAGUGGGGAAUCUUGCACAAUGGACGAAAGUCUGAUGCCAGCAAUUUCGCGUGAAGGAUGAAGCAUUACGGUGUGUAAACUUCUUUUUUGGCAGAAGACGAAUGACGGUAUGUCAAGAAUAAGAGACGGCUAACUACGUGCCAGCCGCGGC
rnacentral:rRNA from 1 species